AUGCAGUCUGCUGUCUUCUCACCUCUCUCUCUCAUUGCCUUUUCAGAGGAGACGGCAGAUAUAGAUUCCCCUACUGACACUGCUGUAGAGGAAGAAGCUGUAGAAGAAGAAGCUCCUGCAGAAGAAGAAGAAGCUGUAGAAGAAGAAGCCACUUCAGAAGAAGACGCUACUGCAGAAGAAGAAGGUCCUGCAGAAGAAGAAGCCACUGCAGAAGAAGACGCUACUGCAGAAGAAGAAGCUCCUGCAGAAGAAGAAGCCACUGCAGAAGAAGAAGCCACUGCAGAAGAAGCUCCUGCAGAAGAAGCCACUGCAGAAGAAGCUCCUGCAGAAGAAGCUCCUGCAGAAGAGAAAGCUACUGAGGAAGAAGAAGCUACUGCAGAAGAAGAAGCCACUGCAGAAGAAGAAGCCACAGCAGAAGAAGAGGCUCCUGCAGUAGUAGCAGCUCCUGCAGAAGAAGAGGCUCCUGCUGAGGAAGAGGCUGCUGCUGAAGUCGAAGCUCCUGUAGAAGAAGAAGCUACUACAGAAGCAGCUCCUGCUGAGGAAAAGGAUACUGCAGUAGUAGCAGCUCCUGCAGAAGAGGAAGCCACUACAGAAGAGGCUACUGCAGAAGAAGAAGCUGUCACUGAAGUCGCAGUUAUUGCUGAAGAGGUGGCUCCUGCUGUAGAAGCAGCUGCACCUACUGAUGUCGAAGAAGAGGCUCCAACGCCUGUAGUGGAAGGGGAUACACCAUCUGAGGCAGCAGCUGACGGUGCCAAGCCGAGUGAAGGCGCGGAGGCAGUGGCAACCCCGGAGAAUGUUACGGAGGCUCCUGCCAUCAUCCCCGUAGCGGAAGCUCCCUCAGACGACCUGUUUGACUUGGCAGCUGCACUGGGACCGGUCGACCAGCCGUCACGCAAUGGGAAUAGUCGGAGUGGUGGCUCUGUUCCACACACAUCUGAAUCAUCAGCAGACGGAUCAGUGGAGGGAAAAUCCGCGGGCUCCGGGUCCCUGGCCGGCAUCCUGAGUGCCCUCUGUGUGGCGCUGGUGGGCUCCGUCAGCGGCUACUUCACCUACCAGAAGAAGAAGCUCUGCUUCAAGAACAGAGAAGCUGACCCUGAAGCAGCCCGGAAAGCUGACGCGGCAGCAGUAGCUGAAUCAGACCCCCAGGUCCUUAGCACCCUGAUCACCUCCUCCUAGACCGCCAUCACAUGACCCUCAUCGACCAAUCGCAGCGGUGACUGUAGAGUAACGAGGGGGGUUUCACUUUAGGGUCGUGAACAUCUGACAUGCACGUUUGUGUGUGUGUUUGCACACAAAUGUGUUGAAGUUGAUGUGUGUGUGUGUUUAAAUAUGUCAGAGAAGGAGCAUUGAAAGAGAAUUUGAAUUAUUAUUGAAUAAUUCAAUUUGUGGGUGAUUUUGUUUUUUGUUCGUAAGUCCCUGAGAAAAUUUGAUAAUCAAUCCCCUUUAACUUGUGUACAAAUAAUAACCUGAAAUGGUAAACUAAACUGGAACAGCUUUUCUUCAUGUUUUGCACGAGAGUUCGGAUUUCUCAGCAGCACUAAGGUGCACUACAAUUGGUAUAACAGUUACACAAUACACACAACAAAGACACAUAGUGCAAACUUGUAUCUGCUUGGUUUCAGUCCGGUAAUCGUUGUACACUGUGAAUGUAGUUGGAGCCCCUGAGCUGCGACAGCAAUAGACAGGUGGCAGGUUCAGCCAUUCUGGAGCACCCAGUGUUCAUUGCAUUCCUACUGCACUGCUGGAGCACUUUGACUUCACACACGCUUUGGACAAAGACUAAUGCAAUGUGGCCGGCUCACUAGAAAGGCUUAUCUCUGAUACAUGCUGGGUGCAUCCUUCAAUGGCUGGGGCUGCUGUACUGGACCACGAGAUAAAGUGUUCGGUGGUCCGAUCCCUCCUAGACUGGGCCUGUAUGUGUUAUGUGUGCAUACAUACGUGUGAUGUGUGUGUUUUUUGACUGGUUGGUUGGUGGUGGGGAGUUUCCAUGUUCUGGGUGACCACUGUUCCUCUUCUUAGUGAAUUCAGGAAGCACGUUCAAGCAGGGUUUCAAAAUAAUAUUCAAAUAAGACAAAAAAAGUUCUCAACGUUUUAUUUGAUGACAACACCUGAAAAUAAAAAAAGGGACAAGUCACUGUUCAAAUCCACAAGAACUUUUAGUUGUCAUUUAUUUCAUUUAUAAUCUCCUGAAUUGACUCAAGUGAGGUAGGGUGAACCUCCUUUUUGUGUCUGUCGACAAUGCGUCCUCCAGAGUGGACGGACCAGUGAUGUUUGGUGGCGUACUCUUGGAUCUAGUCUGUAAAUCUAGUUGUGAUGCAGUCCUGUCUGCGGUGCCUUCCACUGACACAGCGCUCACUUGAACGAGCUCCAGAAACGAACGCAUUUAAAGCGCACAUUUUGGGCCAUUACGAGGAAUGAUAAUGUUUUCUUAGUUUACAAUCUCAUAACAGGAAUCAUCUUUAUCCAAUCAAUGAGUGACGGCUAGCAAAGAUUGGGAACCAUCGGACCAAUGGGAAGGGACGGGGUGGGGCUUUUGACUUUGUAAUGACAGUUAGAUGAUUGAUGUCCUCCCAGCUGCUUUGACUCUAGGAUAAAAAACAUCCUGAUCUGAGUGGCUCGUAUGUUUCUGGAACAGUUGAUCAAGUAGGUUGCUGUCGCUAUAUAUAUAUAUAUAUAUAUACAAAUAAUAGAUGUUUCUCGUUCAAAUCCUUUCUGAUCAUUUAUGUAUCUUGUUAGCACCGCCUCAAAGCUGAUGCGAACAUCUUGUCAAGGGUGGAACUUCUCGUUCAAAUUAUAAAACUGGAUCAGAUGUUUAAAAUUAUAAAAUGGAUCACCCUUUUUCACCAUUUUAGUUCUAACAAUGUAAGAAUAUCACUCUGUUGCCUUGUUGUUUGAUGCCUUCCUUUCUGUACCAGCCUCCUUUGAUUUGUCAGAAGGGUUUUUUGUAUGAUGUGCUCAACGUCCACCGUUUGGUUUUAGGAGACAAUAAAAGGCUGUUGCUUGGCGGGCUAGCCGAGGUCAAAGACCUGAUGUGUGAUGGUCUGUUUUUAUAUUGCCCACAUAUCAUGGGCUCAGCCUCUUGAUGCGACCCAGGUCCGGUUCAUUCCUGCUCCACUGCUGUGUGUUCUGCCCAGCAACUAUACAGAACCCACAACACGAUUGGUUGCAUAUACUUUGAGGUAUAAAACUGAUUCACUAAAUGUGUAUCCAGGCCCUUUAAGCAAGACAUCCAUACUUAAAGGGUAAUUCCGAUGUAAAAUGGAUUUGGGAUAUGUUUUGUACGACAACGAGUUGAAACGUUCAUUUUGGAGCACAAAAACUGCUAUAGACGCUUUCUUCAGUUGGCCGUUUUUAGCCGAUUCUAUCAAACCGCUAUAAACUUGGAACGAUUGGGGCACUGGUUAUGGUAAAAACUAAAUCGCUAUUUUAAACCACUUAAAAGGCUAAAAGUAGCCCGACACUUCUUUGGUAGUAUAAUAAGGGUGUUAACAUAUAAAACGAGGCAUUGAGAACUUUUUAAGUGUUCAGAUUGUUUAUUAAAAAGGACAUUUUAUACACACAAUACCAUCAGUAGAUCACCCGUCAACACCAUUUUGUUUUUAAGACUCGAUAGGUAGAUUGACGAACACAGAGAUUUUGACAUCCAUAAGGAACACGCAAGCUAUGUUCGCCAAUCUACUUAUCGAGUCUUAAAAACAAAAUGGCGUCGACGGGUGAUCUACUGAUGGUAUUGUGUGUAUAAAAUUUCAUUUUUUUAUAAACAAUAUGUACAGUUACAAAGUUCUCAAUGCCUCGUUUUAUAUGUUAAGACUCUUAUUAUACUACCAAAGAAGUGUCGGACUACUUUUAGCCUUUUAAGUGGUUUAAAAUAGCGAUUUAGUGUUUACCAUAACCAGUGCCCCCAUCGUCAAAUUUAUAGCGUUUUGAUAGAAUCGGCUAAAAACAGCCAACUGUAGAAAGCGUCUAUAUGCGUUUUUUGUGCUCAAAACGAACGUUUCAACUCGUUAUAUCCCAAAUCCAUUUUACACCGGAAUUACCCUUUAAGUGCUGCACAGUUAAGUCUUUACUAUCUUCUGGAAUAUGUUAAUGGUCAAAAACUAAAGGACAUUCCCUUUAAGGAAGCUAGAAAUUAAUGCCUAUGUUAAACUGUGAAAGUCAAGCUGGAUGUGUAAAAGGGCAUUUGGCAAUAAGCCACAAUGAUGUAAUUGACGUAUGUCCUAUAGGUGAUCAAUUAAAUAUACUAUUCCUAUUCCUGAUAAUAGUUGGUAGGUAGUGGAUGAGCUGUACAUCAUACCCCCCUCCCCCCCACACACACAUACUCACUGCGCUUUGGGUACCGAGAAAAGGUAUAUGAAUUCAAUCAAUUUGUUAAUUAUUACUAACACAAAAUAAUAUAUGGGUGGGGGGGGGGGGGGUUGUGUGUGUACGAUAUCUUUGUUGUGUGUGGGUGGGUGUUUUUUAGCUAAUCUGGCCCCAAGAUGUGAUUGGGCUCCAAAGUUAGCUACAUGUCAUGUUGUUGAUGUUAGUAAGCAUUCCUUGUUACCAAUCAGGAAGUUGUUGGGAUCUAUGGCUCGCUGCUUCCUAAAGUGCACUUCCAGAAUAUUCCGAGGACAUGACAAUUGACUCCAUCCAAUUCUGCCUUAAACCAGUUCACAGUUUUUUUCUAAGAAAUACUAAACAAAAAAGGGAUCAAGCUGAAAUGUUUUAGGAAGAAUUGAGUCCAAUAUACUUUUAUCUUUGGUUAACCUAACUCAAUGAAUUCAGAAAAUCACUUUUUUAUCCUGGUUUCGGGAGCAAAAAGAGCAUUUCUAAUAAUUCAUGCAGACUCAUAUGACUUUGAUUUCACUAUUUAAUUAUUGUCUUUGUCACAUUUUGUAUUUCAUUCUAACCGUCUGUAAUCUGGCACAUGUUUGUUUUGUUUUUGUUGUGUAAAUAAUGUUAUAAGUCAAUAAACAAUGUUUUUGUGGGGGCUGGAGUCUCGCUCUCUAAGAGAAAAACAUCUGAGUUUUUAAUUAUUGUGACCACAUAUUGUGCCAGAUUUCUUCACACCAUUAAGGCAUAUUAACAG
rnacentral:lncRNA from 1 species